GUGAGGAAUAUUGGACAAUGGAUGGAAAUCUGAUCCAGCCAUGCCGCGUGCAGGAAGACGGCCCUAUGGGUUGUAAACUGCUUUUAUACGGGAGCAAUAAGGUCUAUGCAUAGAUUGAUGAGAGUACCGUAUGAAUAAGCAUCGGCUAACUCCGUGCCAGCAGCCGCGGUAAUACGGAGGAUGCGAGCGUUAUCCGGAUUUAUUGGGUUUAAAGGGUGCGUAGGCGGCUUUGUAAGUCAGCGGUGAAAUUUUGCAGCUUAACUGUAAAAGCGCCGUUGAUACUGUGAAGCUAGGAUUUGGUUGCUGUGGGCGGAAUGUGUGGUGUAGCGGUGAAAUGCAUAGAGAUCACACAGAAUAUCGAUUGCGAAGGCAGCUCACAAAGCCAAUAUUGACGCUGAGGCACGAAAGUGUGGGGAUCAAACAGGAUUAGAAACCCUUGUAGUCC
rnacentral:rRNA from 1 species